AUUGAACGCUGGCGGCAGGCCUAACACAUGCAAGUCGAGCGGGGUUUUCGGACCUAGCGGCGGACGGGUGAGUAAUGCGUAGGAAGCUACCCGAUAGAGGGGGAUACCAGUUGGAAACGACUGUUAAUACCGCAUAAUGUCUACGGACCAAAGUGUGGGACCUUCGGGCCACAUGCUAUCGGAUGCGCCUACGUGGGAUUAGCUAGUUGGUGAGGUAAUGGCUCACCAAGGCGACGAUCCCUAGCUGGUUUGAGAGGAUGAUCAGCCACACUGGAACUGAGACACGGUCCAGACUCCUACGGGAGGCAGCAGUGGGGAAUAUUGGACAAUGGGCGCAAGCCUGAUCCAGCCAUGCCGCGGGCGUGAAGAAGGCCUUCGGGUUGUAAAGCAUUUUCAGUAGGGAGGAAGGGUGUUGUGUUAAUAGCACAGCAUUUUGACGUUACCUACAGAAGAAGCACCGGCUAACUCUGUGCCAGCCGCCGCCGUAACAC
rnacentral:rRNA from 1 species